AGAUACGUGUCCUAAGGCAUUCAGCUGAAUGUUUGGGUUUUAGGGAAGGAAGGAUACCUAGUUCCAUGUGCAACAUUCAGUAUUGGAUGAUCUGGAUUCAGUACAGAAAGCCUGGACUUUUGAGCCUAAACAGGAUCUGAAGCAGAAGGAUGAAAAACAGAUCAACCAACAACAAGAAUCAACCAUCUUGGUUUCUCAUUUGUCAAUAAUGGGCAAUAGUCCUGCCCACAUAUCAGGGAAUGUAUAUGCCAUAAUUAAAUACUAAUGCUUCUAUCUUC
rnacentral:lncRNA from 1 species